UGGGAAACCGGGGCUAAUACCGGAUACUCCCUACGGGGGAAAGCGGGGGACCGUAAGGCCUCGCGCUAUUGGAUGAGCCCGCGUCCGAUUAGCUUGUUGGUGGGGUAAAGGCCUACCAAGGCGACGAUCGGUAGCUGGUCUGAGAGGACGACCAGCCACACUGGGACUGAGACACGGCCCAGACUCCUACGGGAGGCAGCAGUGGGGAAUACUGGACAAUGGGGGAAACCCUGAUCCAGCAAUGCCGCGUGUGUGAAGAAGGCCUGCGGGUUGUAAAGCACUUUCGGCAGGAAAGAAAAGUCAUGCGCCAAUACCGCAUGACCUUGACGUUACCUGCAAAAGAAGCACCGGCUAACCCCGUGCCAGCAGCCGCGGUAAU
rnacentral:rRNA from 1 species